rnacentral:rRNA from 1 species
GACAGAGGGGGCAAGCGUUGUCCGGAGUUACUGGGCGUAAAGCGCACGCAGGCGGCCAGGCACGUGUGGGGUGAAAGCUCGGGGCUUAACCCAGAGUCGCCCCCGCAUACGGCCCGGCUCGAGCCCGGGAGAGGUCCCUCGAAUUGCCGGUGUAGUGGUGAAAUGCGUAGAGAUCGGCAGGAAGACCAAGGGGGAAGCCAGGGGACUGGCCCGGUGCUGACGCUCAGGUGCGACAGCGUGGGGAGCGAACCGG